rnacentral:rRNA from 1 species
UGGGGAAUAUUGCACAAUGGGCGAAAGCCCGAUGCAGCAACGCCGCGUGAGCGAGGAAGGCCUUUGGGUCGUAAAGCUCUGUUGAGAGGGAAGAAAAAAAUGACGGUACCUCUUGAGGAAGCCCCGGCUAACUACGUGCCAGCAGCCGCGGUAAUACGUAGGGGGCGAGCGUUAUCCGGAAUUAUUGGGCGUAAAGAGUGCGUAGGUGGUUAUCUAAGCGUGGGGUGGAAGGCAGUGGCUUAACCAUUGUAAGCCUUGCGAACUGGAUAGCUUGAGUGCAGGAGGGGAAAGUGGAAUUCCUAGUGUAGCGGUGAAAUGCGUAGAUAUUAGGAGGAACACCGGUGGCGAAGGCGGCUUUCUGGACUGUAACUGACACUGAGGCACGAAAGCGUGGGUAGCAAACAGGAUUAGAUACCCUGGUAGUCCACGCCGUAAACGAUGAGCACUAGGUGUUGGGGGGAGAACCCUCAGUGCCGCAGUUAACGCAAUAAGUGCUCCGCCUGGGGAGUACGCACGCAAGUGUA